rnacentral:rRNA from 1 species
AUUGAACGCUGGCGGCAGGCUUAACACAUGCAAGUCGAACGAGUGGCGGACGGGUGAGUAAUGUCUGGGAAACUGCCUGAUGGCGGGGGAUAACUACUGGAAACGGUAGCUAAUACCGCAUACAAUCAGAUGUGCCCAGAUUGGAUUAGCUAGUAGGUGGGGUAAUGGCUCACCUAGGCAACGAUCCCUAGCUGGCAUGAGAGGAUGACCAGCCACACUGGAACUGAGAAACGGUCCAGACGCCUACGGUAGGCAGCAGUGGGGAAUAUUGCACAAUGGGGGAAACCCUGAUGCAGCCAUGCAGCGUGUGUGAAGAAGGCCUUCGGGUUGUAAAGCACUUGCAGCGGGGAGGCGGUACUCGCAGAAGAAGCACCGGCUAACUACGUGCCAGCCGCCGCGGUAAUAC